GAUGAACGCUAGCGGCAGGCUUAACACAUGCAAGUCGAGGGGUAUAGUUCUUCGGAAUUAGAGACCGGCGCACGGGUGCGUAACGCGUAUGCAAUCUACCUUUCACAGAGGGAUAGCCCAGAGAAAUUUGGAUUAAUACCUCAUAGUAUAGCAGUUUCGCAUGAAACCACUAUUAAAGUCACAACGGUGAAAGAUGAGCAUGCGUCCCAUUAGCUAGUUGGUAAGGUAACGGCUUACCAAGGCAACGAUGGGUAGGGGUCCUGAGAGGGAGAUCCCCCACACUGGUACUGAGACACGGACCAGACUCCUACGGGAGGCAGCAGUGAGGAAUAUUGGACAAUGGGCGGCAAGCCUGAUCCAGCCAUGCCGGCGUGCAGGAUGACGGUCCUAUGGAUUGUAAACUGCUUUUUAUACAGGAAGAACACUACUUCGUGAAGUAGCUUG
rnacentral:rRNA from 1 species